GGGGAGACCAGCACUGCUGGGUGCUGUGGGAGACACAAAUGUCUGCAGGCUGUGGAAACCCUCUGCUGAAGAUGUGGAAAUUGAGGCCGACAGAGACUAGGUGAUUUGCCCAAGUGUAGGUACUCUUCACCGAGAAGAAGGCAGUGGAGAGCAUAGUGAAUUGUACAGACU